rnacentral:sRNA from 1 species
GACGCCGAAGGAACGGUGCAGGCUGACCAAGGAUGGCGGCCAAUGGGACCGUCGCAGGAUGCGGCGACUUCAUCAGGAUGAUGAACCCAGGGAUGUGGUUGAACGACAUGAAACGGCGAGGCUAACCCCUCGCCGUUUUUGU